AUACGGAGGGUCCAAGCGUUAUCCGGAUUCAUUGGGUUUAAAGGGUCCGCAGGCGGGAAAAUAAGUCAGUGGUGAAAGCCUACAGCUCAACUGUAGAACUGCCAUUGAUACUGUUUUUCUUGAGUAUAGAUGAAGUGGGCGGAAUAUAUCAUGUAGCGGUGAAAUGCAUAGAUAUGAUAUAGAACACCGAUUGCGAAGGCAGCUCACUAAACUAUUACUGACGCUCAGGGACGAAAGCGUGGGGAGCGAACAGGAGUAGAUACCCUAGUAGUCC
rnacentral:rRNA from 1 species